GCUAACUGAAUCUCACACCUGCCAACUGAACCUCGGCCGUGGCCACCGCUGUGCGCCGCCGCCGAGCACCGCUGUGAGCACGAGCUGUGGCCAGAACGCGACGCCCAACGGAGAUCACGACGCCGACACGGAGCUUUCUCAAGCGCCACCCUCCCAUCGCCCGCGCGCACUCUCUUCUUCCCAUCGCGUCGGCCACCUUCCUGCCGGCAGCCUGCUCGACGAAAUGCCCCGUGUCAACGCCGUCUCCUCAUCGACGCCUACUCCUGCCAAGGCCGUCCGUCCGACGCCUCUCUGGAGACCUUCAACCCGAGUGCUCGUCAGCUCUCCUGGAGCGCGUUCGUCUCCGAGCCGCUCGUCAUCAUGUACGCCAGGUGCGGCGACAUGGGACUGUUGUUUGACGCCGACGUCUCGUGGAACUCGCUGGUCUCCGGGUACGUGUGAGCCGGUGCGUGCGAGGAUAUGCUCAUGGUUGUUUGUUUGCUCUGAUGCGCUGCUCUGGUAUUUGAUUGAAUUAUUCCGCGCGCUCUUGGCAGCGUCAUCAAGUCUUGCUCUGCUAGUGGUGACAGUGAUGAGGUAUAUCGCGCCAAUGGUUCAGAAUGUGGUUGUGCUCAACGCCAUGAUUUCGGGGCUGUGUCGCGACGAGGCUGCAGUUGGUUAAGAAAGUCGUGAGAGAAGCCUCCUCAAGUCUGUAUUCAUAGGUACAUAGUCAGGUUUGGAGCCUACUGAGAUCACAUGCUCCAGCGUGAUAAGAGCGUUUAACUUGGCAGCCAGGUGACCUUGAAUUCAGCAAACAGAUAGACGGGCAAGUGCUGAAGCAGUGUUUCAAGGGAGAUUACUUCAUUGGGAGUGCACUCGUUGACUUGUACUUCAAGUCUGGAUGUAUGGAAGAUGGAUUCAGGUGUUCCAGAUCUGUUCCAAAGCAGGAUGUUGUCACCUGGACAGUGAUGAUUUCGGGGUUGAGAUUUUUGAGAGGGCACGUUGUUCCAUGAAUUACUAGGUCCAUCCUUCCACCGUAUCCAUCCAGAGUGAUGAAUGCAUGUGCCAGUUUGGCUGUUGCAAGGACUGGUGAGCAGGUUCAGUGCUUUGCUACAAAAUCUGGUUUUGAUCGGUUCACUGCCAUGGGAACUCCUACAUCCAUAUAUAUGCUAGGCCAUAUUUAUAUCUGGGCCAUGGUAGUUGUCAUUCAAAUAUUCAUGGCGACAAAGCUUUUCAACCUACUCAAAAAAUCCAGUGACGAAAAACAAUUGCCAGGGUUCAGGGCUUCAGGCUGCUUCAACGGCACUUCUUUUUCACGGCUAUGUUGUUUUCACUUUGUUAGUCUGAAGCUUGUGAACACAGUAUCUUCAGAUCACUAGUUGUUUAAGUCGUCAGCGGCCUAAUAAAGUAUCAGUUGUUCAUUUUCUAUUUCCUUUAUAUUGCAGGAUUUGUAUGAUUUGUUUUGACUCUGAAGGAGAACAAGAAAUAUAGGUAGUUCAAACAGAAUGCAUGGAUGCGCGUGAUCUUUUUAACUGUUUUUGCUCACUCUUCUUUCACGGCGGCAAGUUAAUUUGAAGGGAUGGUCUGGUAAGCCAUAUAAUAACCUUGUUAGCAUGCUUUUCUUUACAAUUUUGACUUGUGCUCUGUAGUGAAGUGCUUAUCCAUUUAUAUCCGAUUCCAACUUUGGGCAUUUAUGGUAUGGUUUAACAUCCAAGUUUCUAAAUCACCUGAAUUUGCUGAAGUAACUUCAAGAUGCCUAAUUUAUUCUACAGCUGAAAGAAUUACUGUUACCAUGAAGUCCUAAAUCAAGCUUCCUAUUAGGAACGAGCUUUCCGAGACUAGUUUUUGGUAGUAUUUUUAUAUUCACUAUCUUCCAAAAUAAAAAUGUUGUGGAUAUAAUUCAUCUCGGUUUUCUGUUCUAUAUGAUUCUCAUACUCGUAUGCAACCAUGCUCGUAUGUGCUGGCUAAUAGUUGUACAAGUAGUUCAGUGUGUGUUAGGUACCAGGGUGGCUCAGAUGCAGUUUAAUGGUGUAACAGAUUAUUUACUCCUUGUAAAAUAAAAAGGAAAUUCCCGAAUCCGGUUGACAGUACUUGCCAAUAAUCCCACCCCUCAAACAGAAAUCCCCUAAAAUGACUGCCUAUUACCACCAGCCCAUGCAUACAUAUCAUGUAUCCUAUGUCCUUAACUACGCAAGGGCUAGCCUCAGUAAUAAGAUUGAUCUGAUUUCUCUAAGCAUAGCCUCAAAGCUUUCCAACUAUUCUGUUUUUAAUCUUUUGACAUUAGGAUCGGCAAGGAGUAGGAUACCAAUUCUCAUGAUAUUUGUAAUUUGACUGAACUAAUUUGAAAGUUUUUUUGCUAGUGAGGUUCAGUUGGCGUUGUAGGUAUGGACCAUUUGGUUAACUUGGUUUACUAAUUUGGAACACUUAUCUCCUCCUGUGAUGAUUGUGGAAGGCAGCGCUUUCUGUUCCAUUGCUAUCCUUCUGAGAUGAUAGUUCAAUGCACAACCUCUCUUGAAAUUCUUAUGCUCAACAUUUUUUUUAUUUCUAGUAGGGUCACAGAUACAAAGCAAGCGAUCAAGAUUGUAGGACCUGAUUCUUCAUUGUCCCAAGUAUCAAUGCUAACAAGUGAAGAGAAGAAUGACUCUAAUGAAUCUAUUGAUGAACCUAUAUUGGCAAUAUGGAAAAUUGUAAAUGAGUCAAUCAUCAAGGCUGAAGCAAUGGCCUCGACACAAGCUGAUGGCACGUCGUUCAUGAUGGCCACCAGCUAUUCCAGCCUUGCAGCAGCAACAAGUAUAAAACGCCUGUCAAGAUGGAAAAUGCUAAACCAGCCAUCCUAGAGCCAAAGAACUGAAGCUGAAGUAAUGGACAUUCCAGAGCCAAGCACCGAGGCUAAAGUAAUGGACGUUCUAGAGCCAAACAAGAAGGCUGAAGCAAACAGAUGUUCCUGCGCCAAGGCAAGCAUCAAGGAAGAAGCAAUGGACUCAGCUCCAGAACACACAUCGCUUCAUCGAGCGGCAUGCUUGAUGGGCAACCAAAACAAACAAACAACGGAACACGCAUCGCUUCCCUUAGCCUCAAGUCCAGCAACCAAUAAUUCCAACCUUGCAGCGGCAACAAGUGCAAUGCCUGUUACUUGUGCCGGCUGUGGUCAGCCGAUGCAGCGGAUCCAGGUCUGCCCAUGCCGCCCUGGUAUUUCCGGAAGGGGUGACCGUGCUUCCAUUUUGUGAUGACGAGUGGGUGGCCCCAUCAGCAUACCUUUGAAGCUGGAGCGUGCCGGUUGAAGCUAGGGGUGCUUUCAUCAGACUUGGCUGCAGUCGACAAGGGAUGCUUUCAUCAGACUUGGCUGCAGUCGACAAGGGAUGCUUCAUCCUGGGCAGCGUGGUCACCUCACAUGGCCAGAGGGGGUGGUCCUCUGCUGAUCGAUGGCAUGUUCUCUGUUGGUUGGCUCGGUCUGCGAGUUUCUCGUUAAGAGGGAAGGAGGACUGGCGACACGCAGGUCGUGUAGCUUGUGUUGCGGACCGGACGCCCUCUCAUCCAGUGACAGCUGAUGGCGCAGGUUGGGAUCCGGCGGGAUGCGCGACACCAGAGCUGCGCGCUGGUGUUGACGAGGCUCGCUCGCCCUCAUGCGCGCACGCCGGCCGUCGGGUGGUGACCGCCGCACGUCCGGGCCACGCCCAGCAUGCUUGUGCACCGCACGCUUCCGACGGGUGCGGGUGCGGGUGCGCGUGCGCCAGCCCCGGCUCCGCCUGCGACAGGGGGGUGCGUCCCACAGACAGGGCGAACUCGGAGGCAGCUGGAAUGGCGACACGCCUCUCGUCCGGUGGCAUCGGAUGGCGAGCUGGCGCGGCGGCCGUGUGCAUGUUGACAACGCUGAAUUGACACUGGACAAGGCCCCCCUUGCGGUCAUCAUGGGCACGCGCCAGGCCGGUGUCAGUUAACCAGCUGCUGCACUUCGUUUUCUUCAGUUAGCUGUAGCAACAGGUCGUCAGUUAUCUGUUUUUAGUUUUCAGGCAAGUAGAAAAAACUGAGCUGCGACUCCGUAUUUGAUUUGCUUCCUAGAUAGAUAAGAUCGUCGCCCUGGUCAAUCGUGGGAUGGCACGAUGCAACGUCCAUGGCGGCAGAAUAGGGAGGCACGCAGGAGACGUUCGGAUGGCAGCGUUGUUGCCCUGGUCGUGUCCCAUUUUCCGUUUUUCAGUUUGCAUGCACUUGUAACUCUGAAUAAAUAGAAGAACGAAAGUGGACUUCUAGUGGACUUGCACACGAAUGCAGUAAUAAUGGGCCGGGGUUAAAAUCUA